GACGAACGCUGGCGGCAUGCCUAAUACAUGCAAGUCGAGCGAACAGAUGAAGUGCUUGCACUUCUGACGUUAGCGGCGAACGGGUGAGUAACACGUAAGGAAUCUACCUAUAAGCGGGGGAUAACAUUCGGAAACGGGUGCUAAUACCGCAUAAUAUCUUCUUCCGCAUGGAAGAAGAUUGAAAGACGGCUCUGCUGUCACUUAUAGAUGACCUUGCGGUGCAUUAGUUAGUUGGUGGGGUAACGGCCUACCAAGACGAUGAUGCAUAGCCGACCUGAGAGGGUGAUCGGCCACAUUGGGACUGAGACACGGCCCAAACUCCUACAGGAGGCAGCAGUAGGGGAUCUUCCGCAAUGGGCAAAAGCCUGACGGAGCAAUGCCGCGUGAGUGAAGAAGGCCUUCGGGUCGUAAAACUCUGUUAUAAGAGAAGAACAAAUUGUAGAGUAACUGCUACAGUCUUGACGGUAUCUUAUCAGAAAGCCACGGCUAACUACGUGCCAGCAGCCGCGGUAA
rnacentral:rRNA from 1 species